CCAAAAGUAUCUUCCAAACCCUUUUACUUUAUUUAUUUAUUUGAUCACAUAAACCCUUUUCAUUUUUCUUUAUGCAAAUUAAAAUUUUGGAAUCUUCCCAAUAUAUAUACAGAUGUAAUAAAUUUUCCUGUUUUUAUAUAUAAGUUUUCAAGAUUCUCUGAUCUGCUUGCUUCUUCUACAAGGAACUGGUUUUCGAGGUCUAAAUGGUGAAGAGUAUUAUACAAAAAAUAUCCAUAUACAAAGAAUAAGCAAUCUUAUUUCCAUUUUCAAGAAUGAUUAUUUUAUUUUAAAGCAACAUCUUCAUCGACAAAGGCAGCCAUUGAAGAUACAACUUCAGCUUCCCAGAUGCUAGAAUUCUGUGCUGAAGAGACAAUCAUACUAGGAUGUUGCAGCUGUUGUUGUUGAGUCAUAAACAGAUUCUCAUUUUCAUUGAUAAGAGAAUCGAGAAACGAAGAGAAACCCUCAUCAUUUCCAUUUCCAAUAUAGAACUGAUUCGCAUUGCUUUGUCCUUGAUCGCCAUUUUGUAAAUCCAUAGCAAUAUCAUCACAAUUAGGCCAA